GAGACGCUGGCGGCGUGCUUAAUACAUGCAGUCAGAGCGAACAGAAGGGAGCUUGCUCCCGGAUGUUAGCGGCGGACGGGUGAGUAACACGUGGGUAACCUGCCUGUAAGACUGGGAUAACUCCGGGAAACCGGAGCUAAUACCGGAUAGUUCCUUGAACCGCAUGGUUCAAGGAUGAAAGACGGUUUCGGCUGUCACUUACAGAUGGACCCGCGGCGCAUUAGCUAGUUGGUGGGGUAAUGGCUCACCAAGGCGACGAUGCGUAGCCGACCUGAGAGGGUGAUCGGCCACACUGGGACUGAGACACGGCCCAGACUCCUACGGGAGGCAGCAGUAGGGAAUCUUCCGCAAUGGACGAAAGUCUGACGGAGCAACGCCGCGUGAGUGAUGAAGGUUUUCGGAUCGUAAAGCUCUGUUGUUAGGGAAGAACAAGUGCGAGAGUAACUGCUCGCACCUUGACGGUACCUAACCAGAAAGCCACGGCUAACUACGUGCCAGCAGCCGCGGUAAUACGUAGGUGGCAAGCGUUGUCCGGACAUUAUUGGGCGUAAAGGGCUCGCAGGCGGUUUCUUAAGUCUGAUGUGAAAGCCCCCGGCUCAACCGGGGAGGGUCAUUGGAAACUGGGAAACUUGAAGUGCCAGAAACAGGGAGAGUGGAAUUCCACGGUGUACGGUUGAAAUGGCGU
rnacentral:rRNA from 1 species